rnacentral:rRNA from 1 species
UAUGUAGGUGGCAAGCGUUGUCCGGAUUUACUGGGCGUAAAGAGCGCGCAGGCGGUCGUUCAAGUCGCGUGUGAAAGCCCCCCGGCUCAACUGGGGAGGGUCAUUCGAUACUGAUCGACUCGAAGGCAGGAGAGGGUAGUGGAAUUCCCGGUGUAGUGGUGAAAUGCGUAGAUAUCGGGAGGAACACCAGUGGCGAAGGCGACUACCUGGCCUGUUCUUGACGCUGAGGCGCGAAAGCUAGGGGAGCAAACGGG